AACGUAGGAGACAACCGUUAUCCGGAUUUACUGGGCGUAAAGGGCGUGUAGGUGGUUUCGUAAGUCUGGCGUGAAAUUUUUCGGCUUAACCGGGAAAGGUCGUCGGAUACUGCGGGACUAGAGGACGGUAGAGGCGUGUGGAAUUCCGGGUGUAGUGGUGAAAUGCGUAGAGAUCCGGAGGAACACCAGUGGCGAAGGCGACACGCUGGGCCGUACCUGACACUGAUGCGCGACAGCAUGGGGAGCAAACAGG
rnacentral:rRNA from 1 species